rnacentral:rRNA from 1 species
UACGGAGGGUGCAAGCGUUAUCCGGAUUCACUGGGUUUAAAGGGUGCGUAGGUGGGUCUGUAAGUCAGUGGUGAAAUCUCCGUGCUUAACAUGGAAACUGCCAUUGAUACUAUAGAUCUUGAAUUUUCUGGAGGUAAGCGGAAUAUGUCAUGUAGCGGUGAAAUGCUUAGAUAUGACAUAGAACACCAAUUGCGAAAGGCA